AAUUCUCAACCUCCACCGGCUUUGCUGCUUGGUGUUGGCUUGGAUGUGGGGGAUUUCUGCAGGCUCUUCACAGAGUCAGCUCCCCUGAAAUGCAUUAGCGGUGACCUUGAUGGCCAUUGGUGUGAUAACUAUCUACGCCAUUGGAUGUCGCGCUGUUCGCUGCUCCUAACGGUCCAUUUGCUUGGACAAUUUAUGACAA
rnacentral:misc_RNA from 1 species